AGCAAAAAAUUGUAAGUCAAGCCAUCCUAAGUUGUGGACCGUCUGUAUCUCUCUAGUGCCUCCCAGAAGACCUGGCACCUGGGUGGAAAGAGUUUACUCACAGGCCCAAGGUCAGUGCUGGAGUCUACAGAGCCGGGAAUAAGAUGCGAGAUACCUGAGUUCCAGCUUGUGUUACAGCUGGCCCCGUGACGCUCCAGCUCUGAGCUCCUUGAACACGGAAAGACAGACUGAUUCAAGCCUGGCUCACGAGCCCCUGGGGCUGGCCACUUUGGAGAGGAGUCUCCUGACCUGUACCCAGCAGAGACUGAGGAAAUAACCACAUGGCCCAUCCAUUGAUGCCCUCUGGUCCUUGUGCUUUGUCCAGCUAUGGUACCGGGACAGAGCGGAUUUUGGAGCGUGUUCUGAACAGUGGACUCAGUGACCCACGGACCGUCAGAAGAACCUGAUAUCAACAGAUGAGAGAAUUGAGGAGGCAACAGGAGGGGAACAAACCUCUACUAUGAGCCACGCUUGCCUUCAAUCAUGCUAUUUCUCUUUCCCAGCGUGGAUCCAGCUUUUCAGAAUACCCCAGUACUCCCAUACCCACAUGGGUCUCACACUUGGGAACAUCACCCAGAAUUGCCUUCUAAGGACAUUCAAAUUAGGAGAGAACUUUGUCUACAACCUGUCUGUCCUCACUUUGCCAUCAAUAAAAAGCUGCUGACCGGAUGGAGAGAGCCAGACCAUGUACCUCCUCACAGGAGAGGAAGCAGCAUGAGCCCUGGAGGUUAA
rnacentral:lncRNA from 1 species